CUCUUACCCAUGUAUAGCAAAACAGCACAACAGAAACUCCGGGCAUUCGGGUUUCGCUCCUUCAGCUAUGGUGCUCCACAGUUGUGGAAUCAACUCCCGACUGAACUCAAAAUGUCUCCCUCCAUUGACUCAUUUAAAAGUUCCCUGAAAACCCAUCUUUUCAGAAAAUAUUACAAUCUAUAACUUAACUUUCCAAAAAUGUCAGCCUCGUU